rnacentral:rRNA from 1 species
AUACGGAGGAUGCAAGCGUUAUCCGGAUUUAUUGGGUUUAAAGGGUGCGUAGGCUGUUCGACAAGUCAGGGGUGAAAGCCCAGUGCCUAACACUGGAACUGCCUUUGAUACUGCCGAGCUGGAAUACGGAUGCCGUGGGAGGAAUGAGUAGUGUAGCGGUGAAAUGCAUAGAUAUUACUCAGAACACCGAUUGCGAAGGCAUCUCACGAAUCCGUCAUUGACGCUGAGGCACGAAAGCGUGGGGAUCAAACAGGAUUAGAUACCCUGGUAGUCCACGCAGUAAACGAUGAUAACUAACCGUCGGCGAUACACAGUCGGUGGCCAAGCGAAAGCGAUAAGUUAUCCACCUGGGGAGUACGUUCGCAAGAAUGAAACUCAAAGGAAUUGACGGGG